GCGUCAGUAGCUCAGCGGUUAGAGCAUCCCAGCCAACUGGGGGGGCGAUGGUUCGAAUCCAUUCUGGCGUC
rnacentral:tRNA from 1 species